rnacentral:rRNA from 1 species
UACAGAGGGUGCAAGCGUUGUUCGGAAUUACUGGGCGUAAAGCGUGCGCAGGCGGUUAUGUAAGACAGGGGUGAAAUCCCCGGGCUUAACCUGGGAACUGCAUUUGUGACUGCAUAGCUAGAGUACGGUAGAGGGGGAUGGAAUUCCGCGUGUAGCAGUGAAAUGCGUAGAUAUGCGGAGGAACACCGAUGGCGAAGGCAAUCCCCUGGACCUGUACUGACGCUCAUGCACGAAGGCGUGGGGAGCAAACAGG